rnacentral:rRNA from 1 species
UACGGAGGAUGCGAGCGUUAUCCGGAUUUAUUGGGUUUAAAGGGUGCGUAGGCGGCCUGCCAAGUCAGCGGUAAAAUUGCGGGGCUCAACCCCGUACAGCCGUUGAAACUGCCGGGCUCGAGUGGGCGAGAAGUAUGCGGAAUGCGCGGUGUAGCGGUGAAAUGCAUAGAUAUCACGCAGAACCCCGAUUGCGAAGGCAGCAUACCGGCGCCCUACUGACGCUGAGGCACGAAAGUGCGGGGAUCAAACAGG